CACUACAACAUUCUGGAAUGGCCAAAAAAAAAAAAAACUCUCGAAGCAUCCAUCUUCCCUCUUUGGCAUUCCAAAAUUCAAAGUAAAAACAGACGCCGGAAACAUCUGCUCUUGAGUUCUCUGUCUAUUACGAUUUUAGGUAUGUUUUUCUGCUACUAACUCAAGUAAAAUAGAAGAAGCAAUCGAGCAAUUUUGCACUUGGCUUCCAAGGUUUAUGAGCAGGAAGGUUCCUGAAAGUGAAAGCUGCUCGAGAUGGGAAAAAAGGGACACUACUUCGACUCUAAGAGGUAUGCAUUUUCUGUUGAGUCCUUCGAGCACUUGAUAGUAUUGGUAAGCUCAGUUACUGUCUAUAUAAAUCUUGUUUAUACUUUAGGAACUAUAAGGAGAUAUGAACCUCAAAAAGCAGAUGACCAACCAUAAUAUAUUGGAUAACACGAUAGACUAAAACCAAGUAUAGUUAUAGAAGUUGGAUCUUGUGCAUGUAAAAUUGUGUAAUUAUUUUAGCACCUUAAUCGUUUAUUAUCAAACAGUAGAUUGACCUUUGCCUAUAUAAGUUGUUCUCUUGCAUCAGAACUUUGUAUGAUUUAUGUACUUAGUAAGCAUUUGAGGAAACAUGUUUGUCAAAUUAUCUUUCAGGUAUUUCAAAAGAACAUAAAUACUAAUUUCUAGGUUAGAGGUGGCCUGUCAAUUAUUUUGCCUAUAUUUUGUUUCCUUGAUUGAUUUUGGGGUCCGGAACAAAUCUAUUACUACUUUGUUGUGCAAUAUAUCGAGAGUUGGCUUCAGUGCUUAUGUGUCAUUGCCAAACAACAAUUUACUUUAUGAUGGGAAGAGUUUGGAAUGGUUUUCUCUUAGAAAUACUCAAAGUUACAGAGAGCUAAGAGUUUCCAGUUUCUUAAUAUUAUGUCAAGCUGAUCGUAAGAGAUACUGGUAAUCCUCCUCAUUAUAUUCAUCAAUUUUAAAUAAAUAAACAAUUUAAUGGUUAUGUGAACGCCAGACUAUAGCUGGAGUCUCAUAAUGCUGACUUUUUUUUUUGGUAGAAUAUUUUCUCUGGUUCAAGUUUUGUUACAUUUACUCCUAUGUACUUUGUUUUACCUUGAUUUUGGCAAGCUAUAGAGACCAACUACCAAUUACAAUUGACUCUUUAGCGUAGGCUCCUCCUCCUAAUUGAGAUAGGGAUCAAAGGUCUGAUGGACUUCUGGAUUUAAGUGGUAAAGACUUCUUUGAAAUUCUAGCAAUGAUGUUGAUGCUGGCGAUAAAUGGAUUAGAAAAGCCAGUGAAGUAGCAGUGUGUUGUACUUCAAUCUUUCAUGGGUAAGAUUUUGGAAGAAGCAGUUACCAUAGUCUGCAUGGAAGAAAAUUUUAUUGCAUUUAAGAUUGUUAUAAUAUUAUUUUUCAGUACCUGAAAAUAUUAUAUUGUUGACACCCGAUUUUGUCCCUCCUUUAUUCCAAUUCAUUCUUUUGAGCUUCUAAUAAUUAUUAAUAAACUAAAUAUAUUAUUUUCGUCCUUACUUUAUUAUUAGGAAUUGUCGCUUUAUUAAUACAUCGUAUAUUACUACUUACUCAUUUACAUAAUAAGCUAUAAUCUAAAUAAUAUCCUUACUUCAUUAUCAUGUUACUUAUAUUUCAUUAAAUUACACCUUAUUAAUGCUAAUGGCUAAAUUAUUAUAUCACAUUCCCCACAUGAUUAUGUUAAUUCAGUCCUUAAUUAGUCCUAAAACUACUUGGGCUAAGGCCUAAUUCGUGUGAAACCAGCCCACUACCCGUUUCAAUGACCCGACCCACAUUCUUAUUAUUCAUCUUCCCAAACCUAUUCUUGAUACCCAAAAAAGAAAACGAUUCAACCGCCUCCCUCCUUUCUCUCCUUUCUCCAUUUUCAGUUAACCCCUCCCCCUUCUUUAGCCAUGGACAGAGCUGUCGUUCUAUUUUGGUGCAAUCUUCAUCUCUUUCUUCUGCAACAUUAGGCGCUCUCAUUGACAUCUUUUUUUUUUCUUUUUAAUCUGAUUCGAUCAAUACAAAAGUCCAAAAAAAUUUAAUGAUCUCUGAAAAGAAUCACCAAGGGUGAUUCGAUUUUAAAACGGCUAGCUCAUCUCAAUUCCUGCCCAAAAUAUUAGCCUAAAAACCCUAGCUCAUCACUAUACAUAGGGGCUUUGAUGCUCAUUUUAGGGACUACCUUUUUUGAGCUGCAAAACCAUUGUUUCUCUACCUUACUAUCGAGAUUUCACGUCUGAGGACAUUCGAGUUCGAAGUCGUUUGUGUUGGACAUAGAUCGGCAAUCUAAGAUUCCUGCCCCAGUUCACUGCACUAGGAAAAGGUCAGUGCAAUCCCCUUCUUCUCCUCUUUUUAGUUUCGAUUGGAUUUUGAUUGGUAUCUGUGAUUCCUUAUUUGCAUGUGUAAAUGUUUCUCCUUUUAGUUAAUUUUUGCAUUUAUUUGUUUAGCAUGUGUGUCAGUUAGUCUUAUAUGUUCAUUUCAGUUAUGUCUUUAAUAUAUGUCUGUUGAUAGCCAUGUCUCUUCAAUUCAGUCUUAUGUUAGCCUUAGCUUAGUUUCUUAAUAUAAGUUAGACUAGUUAAUCUGUGUGUAUGUAAAUGUUGUUGGUUAUUGCAAAUAUAUAUAAGUCUUAUCCAUGUCUAAAGAGUACUUGACUGAUUUGAGCAUGUUUUGGACUGCUAUAUGCUAUGACUUGAAGGCAUAGUCAUACUUGUUUAGACUACAUUUGUGCAUAUAAACACAUGUGAUAGACCUGUUAAUCCACUCUUGUGUCUUGUAUACGUCCAUUGUUCGAAUUGGGGUUAAUAUUGGCUUGUUUAGACCAGAAUGUGUAGUUGGAUAUAGAUUUCUUGUUGUUGUAAAUCUGCUUAGACUAACCGUACCUAUUAUUGCUUGCCUUUGAAUGGUUCUAGCCUGAUCUAGCCUCAAUAAUCAGUCCUUUAAGUUGAAUCACCCUGUAAAUGUCAGUAGUCCUUGCUGUGAUGUUUAACCAGGUUAAAUGAUAAGAAGAAAGACAUAUGUGUGUGUAUUUAGAGUAUACUUUAGUUAGUACAUUUUUGGGGAGAUUAGUUGGUCAUUAUGGAUUAAGCUUGAACCCUCCCCGAUGUUAGCCAUGCCUGGGAUUCAUGGAAAUCCCUUGGAACUUGUGCAACAUCGGGAACACGGGGGUAAAAUCUUUCCAAUAUUAACCCUCUAAACAUCCUUAUGAAUGUAUAUACACGAAGUAUACUCAAAUAUACACGAUGUAUACAUAAGCCACCUGUUUGUUAUUUGCAUGCUUGGUUUCUCCAUGUCACAUAGUUUAGUGUUUUUGGCCAUUGCAUCAUGACUCUGCUGGCUGUUUUCUUCAAUCAUUACUUAUUUGUGUCUUGCAGAAAAUCUACAUUAGUUUACAGAUGGCAUUGCCAUUUUAAAAAUGAUCUGUUAUUCUCUCCAAGUGAAGUUCCAUUUUUGCAAGCUGAUCUAAUGAAACAUUUUGGUGAAGAACUAGCUUUACAAAUCUGCAACACUUCUAUUUUUAGCUUCAUUUCCCAAGUUUUGAUUUUAACUAGAUGUAAUGGUCAUGUGUAAGUAAAAUAAAAUGGCAGUUUUGACAAAGGAAUGCUGGUUUGAACUAUAAUUUGAGCUUCAGUAUGGGGUUACCAAUGUUUAGUUGUGUUAUAAGAUUAAGUCUUAAGGACCCCUUAGUAAUCACAGUUUCAGAAUUUGCACCUAAGAAGAUAUAUGAACUUUCGACCUCAUUUUUAGGAGUCUGAUUGAAUCCUCUUCAUCUAUGUUGUUUAGCUGUUACUCAAAGUCUUUUGACGGGCAGAUUUUCCAAAUUCUUAGUUUAAAAGCUAAAACUUAUAUUUUUCUAUACCUCUAUAACUUUGUGGAUUCUAAAUAUUUUGUUGUGUUAUAUGAGGCUGUUUUAUGUGCUCAUCUAUUCUAAGAAUCUGGAAUGAUGAAAUCCAGUGACUAUUUUAUUCCUUAAUCUUUAGCAUUUUGGUUAAGCUCCUUGAAAAUAUAGUGGUUUCAAUUAUUGUGUAUUCUUUGCAAAAUACGAUUUUGUAUGAGGAUAAUCUACUAAUCUUUAUCUCUUUUUUUUUACAUGUACACACUGGAGUAAAUGGAGUCCUAAUUCGGGACUCACUCACCGAAAAAUCUCAAAAUGAGAUUCGGCACCAUUACUAUACCCGAGCAUGGAGUCAACACAUUCUACCUUUCUUGAACCACAUCGGACAAGCAAAACCCGUGCAUUAGAGUUGCCUGUGGCGACUUCUCUUUUUAUAUGUUCACUUUGUUCCCUUUUCUUCUUGUUAUUUUUGUUUGUGUGAUUUGGGCUGUUUUGGCUGGAUAUAUGUGCUUAACAUAGGAUUAAUUAGGAGUAUUUCACCUAACCCCUUUAGAAUUUCCACUCUUAUUAUUAAUAGAGAAUUUAUUCUAUCUUAUGGAGUAUUUACCUCAUACAUUUAAGACUUUAAAGGAUUAGCCAAAUAUUUGCGGGAGAGUGUGUAUAUGUAUAUAAAAAAUAAAAAUAAAAAAUUUACAAAUUGGUUUUAGCGUGUCUUGAAAUUAGAUCUUUGAAAUUAAAAGUUCUCGGCUUCUUUUAUUGAGUUUGUUAUGUUGACAAGGAUAAUAACUUCAGUUUUGCCAUCUUCUUUUCACAGUAAAAUAGCUACUCUUAUUUUUAAGUAGGGAUUUUAUUGAACAUUUCAGAGACAAUUAUCCGUGUUUGCUGUCAAACUAUGUCUGGUGCCUACUGCCUUUGUUGUAAGCUUUGUGCCGUUUGCAAGCAAUGCGCAUUUUUGUGUUUUUUUUUUUUUUUUUUAUGUGGAUGCUUGUUGAGUUAAAAAAUGAUUUUUGCAAACUGUUUUUUUAGUGCAUCUUUGAAAUUGGAUUUUAACUAUAUUUCUUAUCUCAUGAAGCUUUUUUUACUAAGUCCGGACCUAUUGUUUUAAACGAAAAAGGGAUUUUAAAGCUACUUUGCGAAUUAAUGUUAGCUAGUUGGUCACUUAAUAUUAUUUUCAGUAGUUAAAAAUUGAUACUUUAACAGUGAGAAAUUUUAAAUUUUAAAGAUCUUGACUAGUACUAAAAUCAUUUUUACAUGUACUACCUUAAUUAACUUAACUACUACUAUCCUCAUAAAUCUCCCUUCGUAACCUUAUUAAUGUCGGCAUAUAGUUGCUAACUAUUUUCUUAAAUAUACAAAAGGCUAAAUUUA